UGAAGCUUUUAUAGGCACUAUUCCAUGGACGUAGGCAUUUUAUAACACCCUGAUUUUAAGAACCCAAUCUUAGAAAUAAGAAGUUUAAGGAGAAGGAUACAUGGUGGUGGAAAGAAUUAUAAUCAGAUGUAUAGCAGAAAGUAAAGAGGAAAGGAUACCUUACUGUAGUGUAAUGAUAGUUUUAAGGAUGCCUACAUAAGUGGAGAAGGGUCCCACAUAAGGUAGGAUACCUUAGCCAAAGGGCUGGACAGCAAGGGACCAAAAAUGGCUUAACUGGCUGGAGAGCCUCUGCCCAACCGGCCUGCCAGUUCGGAUAACAGAAUACCCGUAAAAUUGAAAUUUUCUCUAUGGGCCCCUCUAUUUGACAGAGUUUUUCCACCUAUAUUCCACCAUGGUUAGGGGAAUAUUUCAGGGUUUUAAUGCAGGUGAUUUCAUGCUAAACCCUAUUUCCUGUCAAAAGUUAGUUUAAGUCAAAAAUGGUAGAAAAAUGUUUUUGUUAUAUAGAACAUGUUUGGCCGUAGCAUUAUAUAAGGGGGAAUGAUAGGUCGGCUAUUCUUCUUUUUCUAGGAGAAGAGAAAGGAGAAGAGAAAGAAGGAAGAAGAAGAAGAAGAAGAAGAGAAGAAGAAGAAGGAAGAGAGAAGGGUUGCUUGUGCCUUCUGGGAUCAGUUGAACUUGCCUACACCUUAGAUGGUGGAACCAGUGCUGAGGCAGGAUUGGAUUUCAGCGGUGGUUGUGAGGCUUGUGUCUGCGAGACAUCAGGAUGCUGAUGGACAUCUCUUCUGUUAUUUCAGUUAUCCCUUUUGAUGUAAAUAUUUAUAGAAUGUGUAGUAGGUAAUAUUGUAACCUGUGGUUAUUUUCGGAUAUGAAAAUUGUAUAAUAUAAUUAUCAUUUUAGUACAUCACCAGUGAUAUUUGUAAAAUUUACUUAACAUACUUUGAUUUUGGAUGUGAUCUUGGUAACAUUUGUGAAGUUAAUAUACUGCAUCUAUGAUCUUGGAGGAUUAGGAUGAUAAGGUUGAGAAUCUAGUGCUGCAUACUUUGGCCUAAAUUGAUGCAGAGUGUGACGCAUCUUGCCAAACCUUGUAAAAAUUUCAUUGUUGUCCGUGUGGAUUUUCUUUUGUAU